rnacentral:rRNA from 1 species
AACUUCCUACGGGGCGCAGCAGUGGGGAAUAUUGCACAAUGGGGGAAACCCUGAUGCAGCGACGCCGCGUGAGUGGAGAAGUAUUUCGGUAUGUAAAGCUCUAUCAGCAGGGAAGAAAAUGACGGUACCUGACUAAGAAGCCCCGGCUAACUACGUGCCAGCAGCCGCGGUAAUACGUAGGGGGCAAGCGUUAUCCGGAUUUACUGGGUGUAAAGGGAGCGUAGACGGCAGAGCAAGUCUGAAGUGAAAGCCCGCGGCCCAACUACGGGACGGCUUUGGAAACUG